AUGUAUUGUGGGAGUGUAGUUUGAAGCAUCUGCAAACUGAGUUGGUGAUAUCGCGAACGAGACUUCAAUGACCAGAAACGUCCUCUUCUUUGCUGAAGCUGUACGGCUUGUUCGUGAGAGUCGCCCUGAACUAGCAGAUGUGAAAAUUCCCUGAUCUUUUAAUGAUCUGGAUAUAUUUUGGUUAGUUGUUUGUAAAUCAAAAUUAUUUGAAGAUCGAAUAAUCUGCUCAGCGCCCUGUUUUUUUCCUCUCGUCAACCAGCACUGUCUUGUAAUGUUUACUUCUUUCGUGCUUCGGCGUGUCCUCUUGUGCGCUUGUGUAGCGGACUGAUGUAGUGUCUAAUGUUAGCUAAAUUAUUUUACACAAACAAUACAUAGGUUGGCUAGCUUUAUUCAUACGAUUUAUUCACACGAAGCAUGUCCAUCGUGCACAAUCGAUGUAAAUAAUCGAUGUGAAUACUCCCAUGUAGUUACAGUUAUAGUCGAGAACGAAGUGCGAGCAAGAUCCUCGUUCAUGAUGGCGAUGUUUCGCAGUUUUGUGUCGGCUACUCAUCAGCUCAGGCAGCACCAACAAAACGGGGCAGCUGCGGCUGCCACUGGCGAGAGCCUCGAGAGCCAGUUCUCCUGCCCAAUUUGCCUGGAGGUGUAUCAUAAACCUGUCACCAUUGGAAGCUGUGCCCACACGUUCUGUGGGGAGUGUCUGCAGCCCUGUCUCCAGGUCACCUCUCCCCUCUGCCCUCUGUGCCGCAUGCCUUUUGACCCAAAGAAGGUGGACAAGUCCUCCAGUGUGGAGAAACAGCUGUCCAACUACAAGGCCCCCUGUCGGGGCUGCAGUAAGAAGGUGUCUCUGGUCAAAAUGAGGUCACACAUCUCCUCUUGCGCGAAGGUCCAGGAGCAGAUGGCCAACUGCCCAAAGUUUGUGCCUGUGGUCCCCACUUCACAGCCCAUUCCCAGCAAUAUUCCAAACCGCUCCACCUUUUCAUGCCCGUUCUGUGGAGCCCGUAAUCUGGAUCAACAGGAGCUGGUCAAACACUGUAUGGAGAACCACCGCAACGAUCCCAACAAAGUGGUGUGUCCUGUAUGUUCAGCCAUGCCUUGGGGGGACCCCAGCUACAAGAGCUCCAACUUCCUCCAGCACCUCCUCCACCGGCACAAGUUCUCCUACGACACGUUUGUGGACUACAGCAUUGACGAGGAGUCAUCACUGCAGGCAGCCAUGGCCCUGUCCUGUCAAAUCAAAUGUUAAAGUGAGUGACCGUCUGACUCUGUCUUUACAGGACUACAGUAUCGAUGAAGAGGCGGCACUACAGGCAGCCCUGGCUCUCUCCAUGGCAGAGAACUGAGAGUCAUCUGUGUCCCCCAUUCUGCUGUCUGGGGACGCACUUUCUUUCUGACACCCCACUAACUCUCUUUCUUUCUCUGGAUCCACCCCAUAUCCAGCCCCCUCCACUGUCUCCUCACAGGGAGAGUUUGGAAGGACUUGGCCUCGACUCCCACUCUGGGAGAGCUACAGAGGGCUUAUCUCCUAACCCUGUCCCUCUAUCUGGCCCUUCAUCCCAUGACCAUUACAUCAUAUCUUCUCAGCCAGCAGCAGCCUCCUCACUUCCUGUAUACUGGGGAGGAAGGAAGCUUGGCCUCCCAAUAAAUGUUGCAAUUCAAAACCACUGCAAUGCAAAACAAUGAGUGCAGUAUGGACAUUGUUGUUAUUCUGCAGAAAGUAUGAGGGUUCCCAAAAGUAAUGAUUUAAGGUAUUUUCUUUCACUCUUUAUUUUUCACUGUUCAAAUGAAAUGUUUUCAAACUCCAGGAAAAAGCCAUCAUGACACACGUUCUGGUCAAAGUACCACAGAUUAGUUUUGUUGAAGUUUAUUCUCAAGUGCAUCAUUUGAUGGCUUUUUGAUUAAGAGGGACCACAGUUGAAUGGCUUGACCUCAUUCUCAGUGUGAUAAUCUUACCACUAGGUGACAGUCUAGACAUGACCAGUUAAACACAGAGUGAGGUCAUUCUCAGUGUGAUAAUCUUACCACUAGGUGACAGUCUAGACAUGACCAGUUAAACACAGAGAGUGAAGUCAUUCUCAGUGUGAUAAUCUUACCGCUGGGUGACAGUCUAGACAUGACCAGUUAAACACAGAGUGAGGUCAUUCUCAGUGUGAUAAUCUUACCGCUGGGUGACAGUCUAGACAUGACCAGUUAAACACAGAGUGAGGUCAUUCUCAGUGUGAUAAUCUUACCGCUAGGUGACAGUCUAGACAUGACCAGUUAAACACAGAGUGAGGUCAUUCUCAGUGUGAUAAUCUUACCACUAGGUGACAGUCUAGACAUGACCAGUUAAACACAGAGUGAGGUCAUUCUCAGUGUGAUAAUCUUACCGCUGGGUGACAGUCUAGACAUGACCAGUUAAACACAGAGUGAGGUCAUUCUCAGUGUGAUAAUCUUACCGCUAGGUGACAGUCUAGACAUGACCAGUUAAACACAGAGUGAGGUCAUUCUCAGUGUGAUAAUCUUACCGCUGGGUGACAGUCUAGACAUGACCAGUUAAACACAGAGUGAGGUCAUUCUCAGUGUGAUAAUCUUACCGCUGGGUGACAGUCUAGACAUGACCAGUUAAACACAGAGUGAGGUCAUUCUCAGUGUGAUAAUCUUACCACUAGGUGACAGUCUAGACAUGACCAGUUAAACACAGAGAGUGAGGUCAUUCUCAGUGUGAUAAUCUUACCACUAGGUGACAGUCUAGACAUGACCAGUCAAACACAGAGUGAGGUCAUUCUCAGUGUGAUAAUCUUACCGCUGGGUGACAGUCUAGACAUGACCAGUUAAACACAGAGUGAGGUCAUUCUCAGUGUGAUAAUCUUACCGCUGGGUGACAGUCUAGACAUGACCAGUUAAACACAGAGUGAGGUCAUUCUCAGUGUGAUAAUCUUACCACUAGGUGACAGUCUAGACAUGACCAGUUAAACACAGAGUGAGGUCAUUCUCAGUGUGAUAAUCUUACCACUAGGUGACAGUCUAGACAUGACCAGUUAAACACAGAGAGUGAGGAUCAUUCUCAGUGUGAUAAUCUUACCACUAGGUGACAGUCUAGACAUGACCAGUUAAACACAGAGAGUGAGGUCAUUCUCAGUGUGAUAAUCUUACCGCUGGGUGACAGUCUAGACAUGACCAGUUAAACACAGAGUGAGGUCAUUCUCAGUGUGAUAAUCUUACCACUAGGUGACAGUCUAGACAUGACCAGUUAAACACAGAGAGUGAGGUCAUUCUUACAUCCCCAUCACGACAACAACACACUAACAUUUGCAACGCGAACCAAAACAAUCUAUCAAAAUAUCCCCUUUUGUAUUCAGAGUUCUUGUGAAUACUUGCACUUGUCACAUUUUUCUACAUAAUUGAACUAUAGAUUGUUCUCAUUUCACAGAUCAGAAUCAUAAUUAUAGUACUGCAUUUAUUCUUCACACUGCUGUUACUCUGCUGAUAUUUUUAUGAAGCACCAGACAAGAUCAAAUAUAUUUUUGGAAAAUGUUUCCGUUUUAAAUGGUGUACUAAUCAUAAGAAACAUGUUUAUUGGCGAUGUGUUUGUUGUUUUACCACCUUGUUAAAAGUACCCAUUGGUACUGUACUGCUGGCAUCAAACAGUUGCUUGCAGGAUUUUAGGGCCUAUGUGUAAUACACUGUCUCGAACACAAGAGGGCACCCCAGUCUCAAAAUAGACCGGGCACAAGUCAAUAGUAAUUUAAGUCAGUGUUACUCCGUCAGUUUAUACCCAUACACAGUAUUCUGUUUGGUUUAGUGCCCACUAGGAGAAGUACAAGAAGUGAAAUAUUAUGACGUGAGUAUUGUUGGAUAAGUUUAUCCUUGUGGUGGAAUUGGUUGCUGCAACAUAAGUGUCCAGUUUUAUGUUAAUUAUUGUCUUGAACACCAAUGUUGGUCUGAUUAGUAAAAUGCAAAUGUAAAAGUGUACAUUGCUACUCUACAGAAUCAGUGCAAUAUUCCUAGGCCAUUUACCUUCCAGGAUCCACACUGCUCCUGUCUCAGUGGGGUCUCCCCAAAACCUGUUGGUCAGAGCUGUGAAAAUCUGUUUGAAUAUACCAUACACAUUCCAGUCCUGUUACAAUCAUUAUGUUCCAAUGGUUUGUUAAAGACAUCCACUUUCUGAUAGCACAGUAAUUAUUAAAGUUGGAUUUAAACAAAACUGUGCAGAACAGCUGCAUAUUCAAUCAUAUGAUAAAAAUGUCUUUAAAGACACUUUGCUUCAAAGGGAUACAAUUCUAAAAGUAUGUUGCCCCAAAGUAGAUGUUUAAAUUAUAAGCCAUGUUUGAGUAGUAGUGUGCCCGUUGAGCUAGCAUUGAUCUGUGGAGAUUUAAGAUGAUGUUUUGGUUCACACUGAUGGAUGCCUUAUAGGAAACUGGUUAGAUUGUAUAGCGCGCAAUGGAGGAAGAUAUUAUGUAUUGUGAUUAUUUGUUACUAGACUGACUAGUAGAAGUAUAAUGGUCUGUCCAGUUGUGUUUUUCCUUGUUUCUGAGGAGAACUGUACAUACGGUAGAGAAUGCAACAUUUAGGUUUAGGUCCCUGUGGUAACUACGAAUGAGAAUGUAUUCGUUUUUUUCAUACGUUAUAUAUUUUCCACGGGAAUGCAUUGAAAUAUUGCACUUUACUUUUAAAAAAUAUAUUUAGAAAAAACUUUUUUUUUUUUUUUUUUUUUUCAAUAUGUACAUUUCAUGAUGGAUGAUAAUGUAAGUUGUGGCUGUUUUUGUGUAAGAGCAGAGGGAAUGUUAAGUAUUAUCUCAGUCAUAACAUGGUGAUGUUUUGAUGUACUGGGAUGGUACAGACAAUUUGUCUGUCGUUAAUAUUCUAUAGAUGGGUAUAUAUUGCAAAACCAACUGAGAAAACCAUCCCAGAUGUACAAAAGUGUGGCAAACAAAAUUUGACUCUCAGCUUAGUCAAAGCGUUCCUGGAGAUAAUACAUCCUCAUUUGAUAGACAUCGACAUGUUAUAUUUUCGGUGUUUAAAUGUAUUGUACUGGUUGGUGGCACAGUAUUGACAGCUGUAGCCAUUAGAGAGAAACUGUCAUCACCAUGAGAAGUCGUGAGUUUCUUCUGGGGCAGCAAGGAAUUGUCACGCAUCUUUAAUUGAAUAAUUUACUAAACCUUUUUUACUACCUAAUGAUGCUCUUUUAUAAAUGUUUGUAAGGUAAAUGGUAUUGUGUGUUUAGAUCCGUGUUCACAUGCACAGCUGUAGCCUAAUGUAGAUUUUCUAUGGAGUUUACCUGUAAUGUAUACUUUUCACUCUUUGUGUACUGUUGCAUCCAUGCAUAAUGCCACUGUACUGUGCAUCAUCAUCCCAGAUGUCCUACUUGUGGUCAGAACCUUCCCAACCUCUGUCAAAUAAACUCAAUGUUGCAGGUCACACACUGAUAGACCGCCUGCAACAAAGACAUACACCAAAAACAGGGACGGGGGAAAAAAGGAAACUAUUUUGUAUGAACUUUGUUAGGUCUUUUUUGUCAAGAGGUCCUUACUGACACUGUCUGUUCUGAACUUGGUAAGGCUGACCGGAAAUAGACGUCCAUAAAGACUGGUAUCACAGCAAUCAGAGAAGACAGAGCCUGUGUCUCUGACUGUGUCCCCCAGGACUUGGCUGCCCUGGGAGUGUCAUGUAAUGUCACUCAGUCUAGACACAGGCUGAUGUUGUCCUCCCCAGGGGGGUCUGAGCUACAGUCACUUGAACCAGGAAGUUUCCUUCAGGCCCACUGUACCCUAGAGACCCACCAUGGGGCUUUGGCCCUACUGUCAGGGCCUGUGUGUUAAAUGUGAUUUAUGCAUUCUUAAAAAAUAGUAAUAAUACCAGUAAUAACAAUGGUUGAUUGUUAGCAUCAUCAUGUGGAUAUUUAAGUUAUAACACUGUUUGAACUUUAAGAUAUUGUAUUUGUAGCAGAUUUUUUUCCCGCCUCAAUAAAAACACUGACCCAUCCCA